AGAGUUUGAUCAUGGCUCAGAUUGAACGCUGGCGGCAGGCCUAACACAUGCAAGUCGAGCGGUAGCACAGAGAGCUUGCUCUCGGGUGACGAGCGGCGGACGGGUGAGUAAUGUCUGGGAAACUGCCUGAUGGAGGGGAAUAACUACUGGAAACGGUAGCUAAUACCGCAUAACGUCGCAAGACCAAAGUGGGGGACCUUCGGGCCUCAUGCCAUCAGAUGUGCCCAGAUGGGAUUAGCUAGUAGGUGGGGUAACGGCUCACCUAGGCGACGAUCCCUAGCUGGUCUGAGAGGAUGACCAGCCACACUGGAACUGAGACACGGUCCAGACUCCUACGGGAGGCAGCAGUGGGGAAUAUUGCACAAUGGGCGCAAGCCUGAUGCAGCCAUGCCGCGUGUGUGAAGAAGGCCUUCGGGUUGUAAAGCACUUUCAGCGGGGAGGAAGGCGAUAAGGUUAAUAACCUUGUCGAUUGACGUUACCCGCAGAAGAAGCACCGGCUAACUCCGUGCCAGCAGCCGCGGUAAUACGGAGGGUGCAAGCGUUAAUCGGAAUUACUGGGCGUAAAGCGCACGCAGGCGGUCUGUCAAGUCGGAUGUGAAAUCCCCGGGCUUAACCUGGGAACUGCAUUCGAAACUGGCAGGCUAGAGUCUUGUAGAGGGGGGUAGAAUUCCAGGUGUAGCGGUGAAAUGCGUAGAGAUCUGGAGGAAUACCGGUGGCGAAGGCGGCCCCCUGGACAAAGACUGACGCUCAGGUGCGAAAGCGUGGGGAGCAAACAGGAUUAGAUACCCUGGUAGUCCACGCCGUAAACGAUGUCGAUUUGGAGGUUGUGCCCUUGAGGCGUGGCUUCCGGAGCUAACGCGUUAAAUCGACCGCCUGGGGAGUACGGCCGCAAGGUUAAAACUCAAAUGAAUUGACG
rnacentral:rRNA from 1 species